GGAAAUGUGCCUGAACAAAAGGGUAACUUUGAUAGAGUUAAUAAUAGAGUCUUAUCCCUCUCAUUUCCU
rnacentral:tRNA from 1 species